CCUACGGGAGGCAGCAGUGGGGAAUAUUGGACAAUGGGCGAAAGCCUGAUCCAGCCAUGCCGCGUGUGUGAAGAAGGUCUUCGGGUUGUUAAAGCACUUUAAGUUGGGAGGAAGGGCAUUAACCUAAUACGUUAGUGUUUUGACGUUACCGACAGAUA
rnacentral:rRNA from 1 species